rnacentral:rRNA from 1 species
GAUGAACGCUGGCGGCGUGCCUAAUACAUGCAAGUCGAGCGAACGGACGAGAAGCUUGCUUCUCUGAUGUUAGCGGCGGACGGGUGAGUAACACGUGGAUAACCUACCUAUAAGACUGGGAUAACUUCGGGAAACCGGAGCUAAUACCGGAUAAUAUUUUGAACCGCAUGGUUCAAAAGUGAAAGACGGUCUUGCUGUCACUUAUAGAUGGAUCCGCGCUGCAUUAGCUAGUUGGUAAGGUAACGGCUUACCAAGGCAACGAUGCAUAGCCGACCUGAGAGGGUGAUCGGCCACACUGGAACUGAGACACGGUCCAGACUCCUACGGGAGGCAGCAGUAGGGAAUCUUCCGCAAUGGGCGAAAGCCUGACGGAGCAACGCCGCGUGAGUGAUGAAGGUCUUCGGAGCGUAAAACUCUGUUAUGAGGGAAGAACAUAUGUGUAAGUAACUGUGCACAUCUUGACGGUACCUAAUCAGAAAGCCACGGCUAACUACGUG